AUGUUGUCGCUUACUUAAAUAAUUUUGUUAUCUUCAAUUUCCAUAAUGAGUGGAAAUUCUAAAAUCACUUUGAAGGGUAAUUUUUUCAGUUUUACGUGAACGUGUUCUCGGCCAAAUUCCACGAGUACACAAUAAUAGAUACCGAUUUGUUAUAAGGACUUGGCAUCAAUUUUAAAUUUAUAUGAAAAUUAACUUAAUUGUUUUUGGGACGAUACAUUUUCUUUUUUUAAAUUUUUCAUUAAAAUCGCCUUUAGACACAACCCCUUAAAUAUUGGUAGCGUGAGUGUGACCUGCUCUUAAGUUAUUAAACCUAUGCAAAUAUUGUGCAGGUACCUGUUGUACCUAUUUAUUAUUUAAAUAAACCACCACUACAGGAAUUUCGAUUAAUUUCGGUCUUAAUGGAUAAUAUUAUUUAUUUUUUAAAACUAAACAUCUCAUAAUAAUAUACUCGCAUAAUUUACUUAUUACAAAGUAAAGGUGAAAAGUUCAAGGUUUUCGGAUUUAUAAUUAUUAAAAAUAUAUUUGACGUUUCAAAGUUUACAUAAUUCACAAUAAUUUAGACGUUAUCUAAGGUCAAUUAUCGAGAAAUUAGUUAAUUUUCAAUUGGAAUUUCAAUUGCACGUAAAAUAUUUAAUAUACGUGCCUUUUAACAAAAAUAGUAAAAAAUCAACAUACAAGAAAAAUCAAAAAAUUAUCUCUCCAAUAUACCAACUAUACAACCUCUUCUAUCAGAAACCACCUCUAAAGUUGAUUAGAGCAAUAUAAAUCAGAGCUGAUAAAGAAGUUGUUUAGAUGGGAAUAAAUAAUAAUAUAAAAAAAAAUAGAUAUCAGUAUAGUGACUAAUACGUCAUUUCUCGCUUCGCUGAGAAUCUAAAAUGAACCCGGUGUAUAUCACACAGAAACGCAAUUUUAAUAUUACAUAUUUUGUUAUUUGUACAUUUUAUUGCUAAAAUGUGUUCUGUACAACAAUAUGUCAAAUUCAAUAAAAAUCAGUUUUCACGUUAAUAAAUACAAUCUAUUGUAUAUACAAUAUACGUACACAGUCUAAUCUAACCUACGUAUUCAAGUCAACUACAGCAUGUUUGAUAAAUUAUAAUAUUUGAUUAAAACAAUUUCGAAUUAUACAGUAAUUUAAAUUUUAAGCGAACAGAAAAUAUAUUUUAAUAUUGGUGUGCAAAGUUUCCUAUAAAUAAUAUAUCGAAUGAUACGAAUCUUGAUACUUUAGGUAGAUAUUUUUUAAAUUUUAAUUUUCUAGUAGAUUAAAAACAUAGAUUAUUUUUCCUAAGUAAAAUUUAAAAUAAGUUUUAUUGGGGCUCUAAAUUAAAUCAUUGUAUAGGUAUAUUAAUACGACAAUUAAGUAUGUAUACCUACUCGUAUGAUUAAACUUUAAAACAAAGAUUACAAAGAUGGUAAGUAUAAGUCACUGUAAUUAACAAUAAAAAGAUAGAAGUAGCGAUAAAUGAAUUCAAUGGAAAAAUAAUUCUGAGUGGGGCUCAGUAAACAUGUAUAUAAUUUGGUUGUAGAGUAGUUAAAAGUCGUGGUUUUACCUUUUGUAUAACUGAAAUAAAAUAAUUUUAAAAACCCAAAAUAUUGUCAUUUGUAAUGGAGUUUUUUUAAAAUUUUUUAAAAAGUCCGCUGGAAAUUUAAAAAGUGUUUCAAAUAAACUACCACUGAACAAAGAAUUUGCACUUUUUAAGAUAAGAUAUGAACAAUUUGUAGCUUUUUUGCCAACUG